AGCUUACCUUGACCUCCGGUGACCUCGUCGGCGGCAGUCACGGCGAGAAAUCAAAACGGUGACCGCGGCUUUACUUCGAAAAAAUCGGAGGGAAGGAGAGAAAGAAGAGGCCGAUGUUCGGUCUCAAGGGAGAGGGGGUCUUCUUAUAGGGGACCCUAGGACUCCGAGGGGUCCUAGGAUUCCCGGUCUCGUCCGGAUUUCGCCGGAGAAGAAGACUCCUAUCGGGAGUCUUCUUCCCGG
rnacentral:lncRNA from 1 species